rnacentral:tRNA from 1 species
GUUAUUAUAGUUUAAUUAAGAAUAUAUAAUUUGUAAUUAUAGGGUUUAAAAUAGCAA